ACGGGUGAGUAAUGCUUAUCUAACUUGCCAAUUAGUGGGGGAUAACCCUGGGAAACCAGAGCUAAUACCGCAUUUGUUGCUUCGGCAAUGAAAGGGAAUCGCAAGAUUCUCGCUAAUUGAUGGGGAUAAGUCGUAUUAGUUAGUUGGUGGGGUAAUGGCCUACCAAGACAAUGAUGCGUAGCCAGUCUGAGAGGAUGAAUGGCCACAAGGGAACUGAGACACGGUCCCUACUCCUACGGGAGGCAGCAGUGAGGAAUUUUCGGCAAUGGGGGCAACCCUGACCGAGCAAUACUACGUGAAGGAGGAAGGUCUACGGAUUGUAAACUUCUGUUAGUGCGGAAGAAGGGUUGAGUGCAAGUUCAACUUUGACGGUACGCACAGAGAAAGCCACGACUAACUACGUGCCAGCAGUCGCGGUAAGACGUAGGUGGCGAACGUUAUCCGGAAUCAUUGGGCGUAAAGGGUGCGUAGAUGGCAUGAUAAGUUAUUAGUGGGAAAUCGAGGCUCAACCUCGUGGAAGCUAGUAAUACUGUUUUGCUUGAGUGCAGAAGAGGUUAACGGAACUCCAUGUGGAGCGGUAAAAUGCGUAGAUAUAUGGAAGAACAUCAAUAACGGCGAAGGCAGUUAACUAUUCUGUUACUGACAUUGAGGCACGAAAGCGUGGGGAGCAAAACGGAUUAGAUACCCGUGUAGUCCACGCCCUAAACGAUGAGUACUAGAUAUUGGGAACUUGAUUCUCAGUGUCGCUAGGUAACCCGGUAAGUACUCCGCCUGGGUAGUACGCUCGCAAGAGUGAAACUCAAAGGAAUUGACGGGGACUCGCACAAGCAGUGGAGCAUGUGGUUUAAUCCGAUACAACGCGUAGAACCUUACCAAGGCUUGACAUGUUGGGCAAAGCUAGGGAAACCUAGUGGAGGUUAUCCUAACACAGGUGCUGCAUGGCCGUCGUCAGUUCGUGCCGUGAGGUGUAUGGUUAAGUCCUAUAACGAACGCAACCCUUGGGCUUAGUUACCAGCAUUCAGUUGGGGACUCUAAGC
rnacentral:rRNA from 1 species